GAGUUUGAUCCUGGCUCAGAGCGAACGCUGGCGGCAGGCCUAACACAUGCAAGUCGAGCGGAUGUAGCAAUACAUCAGCGGCAGACGGGAUAGUAACACGUGGGAACGUGCCCUUUGGUUCGGAAUAACUCGGCGAAAGCCGUGCUAAUACCGGAUAAGCCCUUACGGGGAAAGAUUUAUCGCCAUUGGAGCGGCCCGCGUCUGAUUAGCUAGUUGGUGAGGUAAUGGCUCACCAAGGCGACGAUCAGUAGCUGGUCUGAGAGGAUGAUCAGCAUCACUGGGACUGAGACACGGCCCAGACUCCUACGGGAGGCAGCAGUGGGGAAUAUUGGACAAUGGGCGCAAGCCUGAUCCAGCCAUGCCGCGUGGAUGAUGAAGGCCUUAGGGUUGUAAAGUCCUUUUAACGGGGAAGAUAAUGACGGUACCCGUAGAAUAAGCCCCGGCUAACUUCGUGCCAGCCGCCGCCGUAAC
rnacentral:rRNA from 1 species